CCUCCUGCUGGCCUCAGGUGCUCUGACGAGGUUGCACUACUGUGCUCUGAGAAGCAGUGCAAUGAUAUUGUCAAAGCAUCUGGGACCAGCCUUGGG
rnacentral:pre_miRNA from 1 species